rnacentral:rRNA from 1 species
GAUGAACGCUAGCGGCAGGCCUAAUACAUGCAAGUCGAACGAUAGAAGAGGGCUUGCUCUCUUCGAAAGUGGCGCACGGGUGCGUAACGCGUAUGCAACCUACCUUAAUCAGGGGGAUAGCCCGAAGAAAUUCGGAUUAACACCGCAUAAAAUCACAGUACAGCAUUGUACAAUGAUCAAAUAUUUAUAGGAUUAAGAUGGGCAUGGCGUGACAUUAGCUAGUUGGCGGGGUAACGGCCCACCAAGGCGACGAUGUCUAGGGGAUCUGAGAGGAUGAACCCCCACACUGGUACUGAGACACGGACCAGACUCCUCCGGGAGGCAGCAGUAAGGAAUAUUGGUCAAUGAAGGCAACUCUGAGCCAGCCAUGCCGCGUGCAGGAAGACAGCCCUCUGGGUCGUAAACUGCUUUUAUUCGGGAAUAAACCUACUUACGUGUAAGUAGCUGAAUGUACCGAAGGAAUAAGGAUCGGCUAACUCCGUGCCAGCCGCCGCAGUAA